rnacentral:rRNA from 1 species
AGCAGCCGCGGUAAUUCCAGCUCCAAUAGCGUAUAUUAAAGUUGUUGCAGCUAAAAAGCUCGUAGUUGAAUUUCGGGAUCAAUUUAUCGGUCGUGCCUAUGGUAUGAACUGGUACAAUUGGUUUCUCCCUUCUGACGAAGCAUGAUGUCAUUAAUUUGGUGUCGUGGGGAAUCAGGACUGUUACUUUGAAAAAAUUAGAGUGUUUAAAGCAAGCAUUAGCUUGAAUACAUUAGCAUGGAAUAAUGAAAUAGGACGUUUGAUCCUAUUUCGUUGGUUUCUAGGAUCGACGUAAUGAUUAAUAGGGAUAGUUGGGGGCAUUAGUAUUCAAUUGUCAGAGGUGAAAUUCUUGGAUUUAUUGAAGACUAACUACUGCGAAAGCAUUUGCCAAGGAUGUUUUCAUUAAUCAAGAACGAAAGUUAGGGGAUCGAAGACGAUCAGAUACCGUCGUAGUCUUAACCAUAAACUAUGCCGACUAGGGAUCGGAUGAUGUUAAUUUUUUAAUGACUCA